AAAUAAUUGAUACAUAUAGGUGUUUAAUCCUCAGGAUUAAACUUAAUAGGGAAGCUGGGUGAAAAUCCUACACGGUCCCGCCACUGUGAUAGGGAGCCUCUUAUGAAUAAUACCACUGGGUAACCGGGAAGGUAUAAGAUGGCGAUGAACUUAAGUCAGGAGACCUGCCUAUAUGAAUACACCGUU
rnacentral:ncRNA from 2 species